rnacentral:lncRNA from 10 species
CUGUGCCCUACUGGCCAUAAUGUUGCAACCAAAGGUUUAUAGAGAACAGCUGUAAUAGUGCAGCUGAGAAUGUGCAGCUACUUGCCACUGUCGAUCUGUUCAGAUGGAUAUCUGCAUAUCGUCAUGCUCCUGCCCAGAUGAAGACAGGCCAAAGACUUUUGUUCACAAACCAUUGAAUUGCCUCCAAUGCAGAAAGAUUCACUGAUGAUACCUUAUGCUAUGAAGAGAAGUAUGAAGAGAAAACCACAGCCUUUUGUUAAAAAGAAUAAAUGUAUAAAAACAAAAGACAUCCAUUAUAUGCAAAAGAUGCUUGCAAACCUAUGUUUAGAGCAGCACAAUUUGCAAUUGCAAAAAUAUGGAACCAGCCAAAAUGCCCACCAACCACCUAGUGGGUAAAAAAAAAAAUUGGCAUAUAUACACCAUAGAAUGCUAUUCAGCCACAAAAAAGGACAAAAUAAUGGCAUUCGCAGCAACCUGGAUGGAGUUGGAGAUCAUUAUUCUAAGUGAAGUAACUCAGGAAUAGAAAACCAAAUAUUGUAUGUUCUCACUUAUAAGUGGGAACUAAGCUAUGAGGACACAAAGGUAUAAGAAUGAUAUAAUGGACUUUGGGAUCGGGGGAAGAGUGGGAGGGAGGUGAGGGAUAACUGACUAUAUAUUGGGUACAGUGUACACUGCUCAAGUGACAGGUGCACCAAAAUCUCAGAAAUUACCAGUGAGGAACUUAUCCAUGUAAGAAAACACCACUGUUCCCCAAAAACUAUUGAAAUAAAAAUUUUUAAAAAGG